GGACUACCCGGGUAUCUAAUCCUGUUUGCUCCCCACGCUUUCGCGCCUCAGCGUCAGUAUCGGACCAGGUCGCCGCCUUCGCCACCGGUGUUCUUCCCAAUAUCUACGAAUUUCACCUCUACACUGGGAAUUCCACGACCCUCUUCCGAACUCAAGCCCGCACGUAUUGAAUGCAGCCCCCAGGUUGAGCCCAGGAAUUUCACAUCCAACUGUACGAACCGCCUACGCGCCCUUUACGCCCAGUCAUUCCGAGCAACGCUAGCCCCCUUCGUAUUACCGCGGCUGCUGGCAC
rnacentral:rRNA from 2 species